rnacentral:misc_RNA from 1 species
GAUGAAGAACGUAGCGAAAUGCGAUAAGUAAUGUGAAUUGCAGAAUUCAGUGAAUCAUCGAAUCUUUGAACGCACAUUGCGCCCCCUGGUAUUCCGGGGGGCAUGCCUGUCCGAGCGUCAUUACAACCCUCAAGCUCAGCUUGGUGUUGGGCCCCGCCGCCCCGGCGGGCCCUAAAGUCAGUGGCGGUGCCGUCCGGCUCCGAGCGUAGUAAUUCUUCUCGCUCUGGAGGUCCGGUCGUGUGCUCGCCAGCAACCCCCAAUUUUUUACAGGUUGACCUCGGAUCAGGUAGGGAUACCCGCUGAACUUAAGCAUAUCAAUAAGCGGAGGA